CACCCUGCCUUAGCCCAUCACGCUGGGCUAUUCAAACGUUUUCAUUUACGAGGAAGGAGGGACAGGUUUUUUUGUUUUUUUUGUUUGUUUGUUUGUUUGUUUUUUGUUUUUUUUGUUUUUUUGUUUUUGUUUUUUUUUUUCUUUUUUGCUUUUUAACGUCAGUAGAGAGGGAGCUCUGUCUCCCAAGGAUAUUUGGAACAGAAGACUCCAAUCUCUCAUCCACUUGUCACUCCAGAAAACCGAUCCUUUUGUUGCACUUUCCUCUUUGUCUGUGGGUCUGCUUUCCCUCGUAAAGAUCCAACAACUAAAGUCUGAGUGCUGGUCCCAGGCUUCAUCCCCGUAUGCUGUCUGCAGAAUGGGUACUAAAAGCAUGGCCAGCUGCUUAGCAUUUUUGUUUGUUUGUUUGUUUGUUUAGUGGUGUUCGGUGAGCACUCAGGAGGCAGGGCCAGGAAGAUGGAGGAACAUGAGACUAGCUAGCCUGGUCUAUACAGUCCUAGACCGGCCAGCAUUACAAAAUCACUGAGAGCAAUGGAUGGUUUCAAGAACACCUGGGAUGGAUUUCCAGAAUCCACAUUGUAGGCCUGUGUCUGCUCCACCACAGGCCAGGUCGCUUGGGACUGGUGCUGGGCUGAAGGGAAGCUGCUCUGGGGUGGGAAAGUGAGUUCUGAGAUGUGAGAGCUCAUUCUGGGGUCCCAUCAUGGGGAUGAUUAUCCUUAGGUUGGCAGAGGCAGUCUUGGUGGUGGGUGUGGCUGGGAGCACAGAGAGGUCUUCUACUGGAUAUUGGGCUCUGUAGGCCAAGGCCUUCUUAAUGGCUCCCCACAGCGUACCUUGAUGAAAAGUCAGUCCAUGGUUCUAAACAGUUUAUUGCCAUGGCAGAAAGCAGGUGCAUAAAACUGUAGCCCACUUCUUAGGGUGAGCCUGAGGUUAAAUACCUUUCGCAGGGAGGAGUGUCUGGGAAAGGAAGCUUAUUGGCUAAGCCCUACAGCUUCUAGGUACCUCAUUAGCAUGGAGAACUGUUUUGAGGCUAGGUGACCAUAGGACAUGAUUCUUUUGUGUGAGAAGCGUGACACUUGUUCCAGGCCAAGAAUCUGGCAGGGAGCUGGGAGUCGCCUAAGCCUCAGGUGUGUGCCCACCGAGUCUCCGAGUCUCCGGGUCUCCACCUGCUCUACCUGACCAGACUUCAUGGCUGGUGUUCCCCC